UGCCCAAAAAUGGUGUCAACAGGUAUCAUGCACAACCCCACAGCAAUGGUAAUAUUAUCGCUCACCCUUCAGAUGGAGAAGCUUGGAAGGAAUUUAACAAGUUGUAUCUAGAGUUUGACAAAGAGGUUAGGAACGUGCGUCUUGGUUUGGUAACUGAUGGUUUUACACCUUUUAGUGCUCAUGCUGCCCCAUACUCCUGUUGGCCUGUCUUUGUUGUUCCAUAUAACCUCCCUCUUGAAAUGUGCACUAGAAAGAGCAACAUCAUCCUUGCACUCGUUAUUCCUGGCCGUGAACACCCAGGGAAGAACUUUAACGUAUACAUGGAACCACUAGUUGAUGAGCUCCUGGAUUUAUUUGAAGAAGGUUCUCUUACUUAUGACUGUUAUAGAAAGGAAAACUUCACCAUGAAGGCAAUGGUGUUGUGGACCAUUCAUGAUUUUCCUGGAUAUGGCUUAGUAGCAUGUUGGAGCACACACGGGAAGCUAGCUUGUCCAAUUUGUGGGUCUGACAUUAAGACAUUUAAUUUGAAGCAUGGGAAAAAACCUUACUGGUUUGAUUGUCAUAGGAGAUUCCUUCCAGCUAGCCAUGCAUUCCGCAAAAGUGUGAAAUGUUUUCGUAAGAAAACUAAAGUUACAGAUCCUCCACCAAAGCACCUAUCUGGUGUUGAGAUAUUGGAAGAGUUAAAUCAUCUAACUCUUGAUAGGACAGGCAAGAAUAAAUAUGAAGGGUUUGAAGUCCCACAAUUGGACAGAUAUUAGUUGUUUGUGGCGAUUGCCAUACUGGAAAAUGUUGCUUCUCCGACAUAACAUUGAUCUCAUGCACAAUGAGAAAAAUGUUGCAGAGGCACUAUUAGGCACAACUCUAGAUAUCGCAGAUAAAACUAAGGAUAAUAUUAAAGCACGUCUUGACAUGGCUAUGCUUUGUGACCGCCCAACUUUUAACUUGAUUAAGAAGCCCAAUGGCACAUGGUCAAAACCGAGGGGAAAAUAUUGUGUUAGUAAGGAUGAUAGAUCGGUUAUCCUCAAGUGGUUCAAGCAAUUGAAGUUUCCAGAUCGCUUUGCUGCUAAUUUUGGUAAAUCUGUAAAGUUGGAUAAACAUAAAUUUAUUGGUAUAAAAAGCCAUGACUUACACAUAAUCCUCGAGCGCCUACUGCCAGUUGCACUUAGGGGUUUCAUCCCUGAGAAGGAAUGGAAGGAUAUAGCAGAAUUAUUUUUUUUAUCGACAAAUAUGUGCCAAGGAAAUUGAUCGAGAGAUAAUGCGUAAACUUGAGGAGGAGAUUCCAGUUCUUCUGUGCAAGCUAGAGAAAAUGUUUCCACCAGGGUUCUUUAAUCCAAUGCAACAUCUAAUUGUGCAUCUUCCAUAUGAGGCAAGGGUAGGCGGACCUGUGGCAUUUCGUUGGAUGUACCAACAUGAGAGGUACAUGCAUGACCUGGGCCUGAAAGUGCAGAAGAAAGCUAGAGUUGAGGGCUCUAUUGUAGAGGCUGAGGUUGUGAAAGAGAUAACUGACUUUUUUUUCUGGAUAUUUUGCUGACCAUGUUCGUACUAGAUGGAAAAAGAUUGACAGAUACAAUAGUAGAGGAACACACGUGAAGAAUGAUGGCUGCAGUUUAGAUGUUUUCCAAUACCAAGGCACCCUUCAUGGUAGGGGCGUGCCUCGUGAUCUCUCAGAACAAGAAUUGAAUGCAGCGAGGCUAUAUAUUUUGACCAAUUGCUCUGCUGUAGAUCGUCAUCUUGAGUCAUUUAUGGCACAGAAGCGUGCUAAUAAUCCUAGGUUGUCAGUGAAGGCCCUGGACCAAUUGAUGACAAAUGAAUUUGUGGACUGGUUUAAGAACACUAAAGGAUACUGAAGCAGAUGAAGACUUGUGCAAUUUAGCCAAUGGAUGCAAGUCUAGAGUACUAUCAUACAGCUCGUAUGAUGUUAAUGGCUAUAGGUUCAGAUCAGAGCGAUAUGAGAAUUGCCGUGCAAAGCUGACCACAGUGAACACAGGGGUUUGUUUGACAUCAUUCACCUCAGAUGAUCAACAACUUGACUAUUAUGGUGUAGUCGAGGAUAUUAUCAAAUUGUCUUUUAAUGCUGGUAGAAAAAUUGAAAUGGUUCUCUUACAGUGCCGCUGGUUUGAUCCCAUCUCUGGUCUUAGAUCUGAACCAAAACUAGGUUUGGUGGAGGUCAAGCCAUCUUCAAGGCUGGUGAAUUUUGAACCCUUUGCCAUGGCUCACCAAGCCACACUAGUAUACUACUUGAAGUACCCUUCUCCACGGUCUGAUUUGCGUGAUUGGUGUGUUGUUAACAAGAUCCAACCAAGGACCUUGACCAACCUUGACAGAGAUGCUGCACAUGUGCCACCUACUAGAGAUGUAUUUUUCCAAGAAGAUGAGCUACAGGGAAGCUUCUCCAUUGAUGUUGAUGGCUUGGUUGAUGACGUACCUGUAUCUUCAGAGGCCAUGGAUGAUGUCCUUGAUCCCCAAGACAUUGAAACUAUAGAAAAGCAAAACAGCACUGAAGAUCAAUUGAAUGAUGACAUUUCUUAUCAUGGGAGUAGUAGUGACGAAGAGCAACAAUUACUUGAAGAAAAUAGCGACCAGGAAGAUAUUGGCGAGGAUGAGGAAACCACAGAUGAUGAUUCCUUAGAAUUUGAUCAUGAUGAUUAUUGAAUCCUUAUUUUAAUAUGUACAUUAGUAUCUUACUAUUUAGCUUUCAUGUCGAACUAGAAAUAUGUCUUCCCAGUCUGAAUGUGGUGCAUGAUUGUUCGAUUGAUGAUUUGGUUCACUUAUUUUACUUGUGUAUCACCUAAUUUUUUUGUGCCACCUCAUCUUGUUUAAUAAAUAUUUUAUGCAACGUACUAAUUUCCAUGUAUGAAGCAGGAUGAGUGGCAGCUUGAAGCAUAGACCUAUGUCAUCAUCAAGGUCAGUGGGUUCCAUAUCAGCUGCUCCAAGGGAAAAUAAUGGAUUGGCUUGAGCAAGUCAGCAAGCAACCGAGAAAAAGAAAACUCGAUCAAGGACUGAUAGUGGUGAAAGACUUCCAGAAAGUGAAAGACCCACAAUCAAGGCUGCUGGAGAGAAGUGGGAAGUGCAUCCUUAUCAAACUUCUCGCAAACCCCCAACUGUAAUUGGUGCUCUAGUUCGAGAGAUGUAUCCUGACUUUGUUGAUACACCAAAUGGGAAGAAGCCAGUGCUAACAUGGGAAGAUUUCAAGAGGACUACCAUAACUGGGGUAUCAACUGAUAAGAAAGUAUUGGAAGAGUUCUGGGUAUGUGUUACAUGUACACAGUAACUACAACUUACUAACUAACAUUGCUAUUAUGUAUAAUGUAUCUGAACUGCAACUAACUAUAAUAUAAUUGUCCAAUGGCGUUUCAAGUGUCUUCCAGAAGAUAGAGCCAAGGCAGAUGUUGUCUUGGAGUUAAAAUUUAAGAACAUGGUGCCUAAGAUAUUAAGUGAAGAGAAGCGGGCUGUCACAAAGAAGCUAUAUAAGGAUGGUAAUGUGUGAAAGGUCCAAAUGGC